GACGAACGCUGGCGGCGUGCUUAACACAUGCAAGUCGAACGGAAAGGCCCUGCCUGCAGGGUACUCGAGUGGCGAACGGGUGAGUAACACGUGGGUGAUCUGCCCUGCACUUCGGGAUAAGCCUGGGAAACUGGGUCUAAUACCGGAUAGGAGCCAUUUUUAGUGUGAUGGUUGGAAAGUUUUUUCGGUGUAGGAUGAGCUCGCGGCCUAUCAGCUUGUUGGUGGGGUAAUGGCCUACCAAGGCGGCGACGGGUAGCCGGCCUGAGAGGGUGGACGGCCACAUUGGGACUGAGAUACGGCCCAGACUCCUACGGGAGGCAGCAGUGGGGAAUAUUGCACAAUGGGCGCAAGCCUGAUGCAGCGACGCCGCGGGGGGGAUGACGGCCUUCGGGUUGGAAACUCCUUUCGCUAGGGACGAAGCUUUUUGUGACGGUACCUAGAUAAGAAGCACCGGCUAACUACGUG
rnacentral:rRNA from 1 species